rnacentral:rRNA from 1 species
GGGCGAGUAAAGCAGCGAUGCGCUUAGGGAUGGGCCUGCGGCGGAUUAGGUAGUUGGUGGGGUAACGGCCUACCAAGCCGAUGAUCCGUAGGGGGCGUGAGAGCGUGGCCCCCCACACUGGCACUGAGACACGGGCCAGACUCCUACGGGAGGCAGCAGUGAGGAAUAUUGCACAAUGGGCGCAAGCCUGAUGCAGCAACGCCGCGUGAGGGACGAAGGCCUUCGGGUUGUAAACCUCUUUUCUGAGGGACGAGGAAGGACGGUACCUCAGGAAUAAGUCUCGGCUAACUACGUGCCAGCAGCCGCGGUAAAACGUAGGAGGCGAGCGUUAUCCGGAUUUACUGGGCGUAAAGCGCGCGCAGGUGGCUUCGUGAGUCGGACAUGAAAGCUCCUGGCUUAACUGGGAGAGGCUGUUCGAUACUGCGGGGCUUGAGGUUGGGAGAGGGGCGCGGAAUUCCCGGUGUAGUGGUGGAAUGCGUAGAUAUCGGGAGGAACACCAGUGGCGCAAGCGGCGUCCUGGCCCACACCUGACGCUGAGGUGCGAAAGCGUGGGUAGCAAACAGGAUUAGAUACCCUGGUAGUCCACGCUGUAAACGAUGUCAACUGGGUGUCGGUAGUUUUACACUAUCGGUGCCGAAGCUAACGCG